rnacentral:rRNA from 1 species
UGGGGGAUAUUGCACAAUGGGCGAAAGCCUGAUGCAGCGACGCCGCGUGGGGGAUGAAGGCUUUCGGGUUGUAAACCUCUUUCGCUAUCGAACAAGGCCCGCUUAGGGUGGGUUGAGGGUAGGUGGAGAAGAAGCGCCGGCUAACUACGUGCCAGCAGCCGCGGUAAUACGUAGGGCGCGAGCGUUGUCCGGAAUUAUUGGGCGUAAAGGGCUUGUAGGCGGCUUGUUGCGCCUGCUGUGAAAACGCGGGGCUUAACUUCGCGCGUGCAGUGGGUACGGGCAGGCUUGAGUGUGGUAGGGGUGACUGGAAUUCCAGGUGUAGCGGUGGAAUGCGCAGAUAUCUGGAGGAACACCGAUGGCGAAGGCAGGUCACUGGGGCAUUACUGACGCUGAGGAGCGAAAGCAUGGGUAGCGAACAGG